GAGAGCUCUCAUUUUCCCCCCUUGCUCGGGAUGGUGCCACAGGAGGCUGUGCGGGCCCCGCUCCGCUUCGAAUGGAUACAGUUAAGCUAAUGAUCUCGAGAGGAUAUCGUCCUGGAUAAGGGUGGAGCCUACGCCCAAAAACAAGAUUACCUGAAAGAGAAAAGAAAGGGGGAAAACACACAGAGAUACAGUCGGGGAGGCCACAUGAAGAUGGAGGCAGAGACAGGAGUGAUGAGCCUGCAAGCCAAGGAAUGCCAAGGGCUGCCAGCAGCCAUGAGAAGCUGAGAGACACAGAGAACGAGUCCUCUGCCAGAGCCUCCAGAAGGAACUAACCCUGUCAAUACCUUGAUUUCGGACUUCUGGACUCCAGAACUAUAACCCUCCUUCCUCCACCUCACAAAAACUCACAAGCUGCAACCCUUCUGAUGUCCACUCCCACACAAACCAGCUUCAGGCCUUUUUCAAGAGUGCAGGAAAUUCUACCCCCCAAGUAUGGCACCUUGGCAUGCUGAGUAUUUUAAGCUGAAGGAAACAGAGAAAACCACAGAAGCAGAAAGGUCUUUCUGACCUCUCUUGAAGACCCUCAUGUGACAGGUGUCCUGCCCUACAUCCAGAGAGAAGGAAUGUUCCACAGACAGACUAAGAAGAAUCUGAAGAAUCAGGCCUUACUAAGUGCCCUCCAGUGGAUGCUGUGGGGCACCACCUCCUUGAGGACCAAGGCACUCCAGCUGCCAGGAAUUUGGCUGCUAACCUCACACAGCUGAGCCUUCCAUGAAAAUUGCUCUCUGCCAAAGAGAACUUCCUAGUCCAAGGUCAUGUCUACUCUCCAGAGAUGUGACUGGAGUGAUUUGCACCCGGAUGCCUAGACUCGCCAUCUGCUCAAAGACUGCUCAGAAAGCCCUCCCAUGCAUUCCCCUGCUGCAUACCAGCCCACUCUGCCUGCAGCUGCUGUCUGCAGGACUUCAUAUCUAUGCCACACUGUGUAAAAGCUGUGCUUCAAGAAAUCACAAAAACAUUUUCCUGCACCUACUACACAGCCUGAGUGCGGCAUAAGUUGACCUUGCUUGCUAAGAAAUGGGGCAAGAAAUGCUUUUUUGUGUGUGUCAUGUCUGUUUGUUUUUCAAUUAAGAGAGGAAAGCAUUAGGCAGAUGGAAUGUACAUGUGAGGAUGAGGAGACAGAAAACAAGUAGCCCUUUCCAUCAAGAUAGAGGGUUUUCUGGGGUUGCUGGCUAUUGAAUGUCACUCCUGAUUUCUCUUUCCAAGGCACUGUACCACCAGCCUACUGAGAUUGUGUGGGAGCUUUCAUGGGGGUUGUAUUUCACUGAUGAAAAUAAAUUUUUUGCAUAAUGUGAA
rnacentral:lncRNA from 1 species